GACGAACGCUGGCGGCGUGCUUAACACAUGCAAGUCGAACGAAGUGGCGAACGGGUGAGUAAUACGGGGGUAACCUGCCCUCCUUUUUGGGAUAAGCCUUGGAAACGGGGUCUAAUACCGAAUAAAGGGGGAUGGGCUCGCGGCCUAUCAGCUUGUUGUGGUGGUGAUGGUCUACCAAGGCGGUGACGGGUAGCCGGCCUGAGAGGGUGACCGGCCACAUUGGGACUGAGUUACGGCCCAUGCUCCUACGGGAGGCAGUAGUGGGGGAUAUUGCACCAGGGGCGAAAGACUGAUGCAGCGACGACGCGUGGGGGAUGAAGGCUUUCGGGUUGUAAACCUCUUUAGCUAUCGAACGGGUAGGUGCAGAAGAAGCGCCGGCUAACUACGUGCCAGCAGCCGCGGUAAUAC
rnacentral:rRNA from 1 species